AUUGAACGCUGGCGGCAUGCCUUACACAUGCAAGUCGAACGGUAACGCGGGGCAACCUGGCGACGAGUGGCGAACGGGUGAGUAAUGCAUCGGAACGUGCCUGGUAGUGGGGGAUAACUGCUCGAAAGAGCAGCUAAUACCGCAUACGACCUGAGGGUGAAAGGGGGGGAUCGCAAGACCUCUCGCUAUCAGAGCGGCCGAUGUCGGAUUAGCUAGUUGGGGGGGUAAAGGCCCACCAAGGCGACGAUCCGUAGCUGGUCUGAGAGGAAGACCAGCCACACUGGGACUGAGACACGGCCCAGACUCCUACGGGAGGCAGCAGUGGGGAAUUUUGGACAAUGGACGCAAGUCUGAUCCAGCCAUGCCGCGUGCGGGAAGAAGGCCUUCGGGUUGUAAACCGCUUUUGUCAGGGAAGAAAUCUUCUGGACUAAUACUCUGGGAGGAUGACGGUACCUGAAGAAUAAGCACCGGCUAACUACGUGCCAGCAGCCGCAGUAAUAC
rnacentral:rRNA from 1 species